rnacentral:rRNA from 1 species
ACGGCUCAGUAACACGUGGAUAACUUCCCUAAGGUGGGAGAUAACCCCGGGAAACUGGGGAUAAUACCCCAUAGUCUAUGGUGGCUGGAAUGCCCUAUAGUAGAAAGAUUUAUCGCCUUAGGAUGGGUCUGCGGCCGAUUAGGUAGUUGUUGGGGUAACGGCCCAACAAGCCUUUGAUCGGUACGGGUUGUGGGAGCAAGAGCCCGGAGAUGGAUUGUGAGACACGAAUCCAGGCCCUACGGGCCGCAGCAGGCGCGAAAACUUUACAAUGUGGGAAACCGUGAUAAGGGAACUCCGAGUGCCCGUAAACGCGGGCUGUCCAUCUGCUUAAAAAACAGGUGAAGAAAGGCCCGGGCAAGACCGGUUCCAGCCGCCGCGGUAAUACCGGCGGCUCGAGUGGUGGCCACUAUUAGUGGGCUUAAAGCGUCCGUAGCUUGGUUGUUAAGUCUCUUGGGAAAUCUGUCGGCUUAACCGACAGGCGUUUAAGGGAAACUGGCAAUUUAGGGACCGGGAGAGGUGAGAGGUACUCCAGGGGUAGGAGUGAAAUCCUGUAAUCCUUGGGGACCACCUGUGGCGUAGGCGUCUCACCAGAACGGCUCCGACAGUGAGGGAAGAAAGCUGGGGGAGCAAACCGGAUUAGAUACCCGGGUAGUCCCAGCCGUAAACGAUGCGCGUUAGGUGUAUCGGUGACCACGAGUCACCGAGGUGCCGAAGGGAAACCGUGAAACGCGCCGCCUGGGAAGUACGGUCGCAAGGCUGAAAGUUAAAGGAAUUGGCGGGGGAGCACA